rnacentral:rRNA from 1 species
GGGUAUGGCUGUUCGCCAUUUAAAGUGGUACGCGAGCUGGGUUUAGAACGUCGUGAGACAGUUCGGUCCCUAUCUGCCGUGGGCGUUGGAGACUUGAGGGGAGCUGCUCCUAGUACGAGAGGACCGGAGUGGACGUACCUCUGGUGUUCCGGUUGUCACGCCAGUGGCAUUGCCGGGUAGCUAUGUACGGAAAGGAUAACCGCUGAAAGCAUCUAAGCGGGAAGCCUCCCCCAAGAUAAGGUCUCCCGGACCCUUGAGGUCCCUUAAGGUCCGUCGAAGACUACGACGUUGAUAGGCGGGAUGUGGAAGCGCAGUAAUGUGUGAAGCUAACCCGUACUAAUUGACCGUGAGGCUUGACCAUAUAACACCCAAGC